GGUUGUAGAUCAGUGGUAGAGCACUUGCUUAGCACACAUGAGGCACUGGGUUCAAGCCUCAGCACCA
rnacentral:tRNA from 1 species